UACGUAGGGGGCAAGCGUUGUCCGGAUUUAUUGGGCGUAAAGAGCGUGUAGGCGGUCCGGUAAGUCCGCUGUGAAAGUCGAGGGCUCAACCCUCGAAUGCCGGUGGAUACUGUCGGGCUUGAGUACGGGAGAGGCGAGUGGAAUUCCUGGUGUAGCGGUGAAAUGCGCAGAUAUCAGGAGGAACACCGAUUGCGAAGGCAGCUCGCUGGAACGUUACUGACGCUGAGACGCGAAAGCGUGGGGAGCAAACAGG
rnacentral:rRNA from 1 species